GAAUAUUGGACAAUGGGGGAAACCCUGAUCCAGCAAUCCCGCGUGAGGGAUGAAGGCCCUCGGGUCGUAAACCUCUUUCAGCAGGAAAGAAUAAAAUGACGGUACCUGCAGAAGAAGCACCGGCUAACCCCGUGCCAGCAGCCGCGGUAAUACGGAGGGUGCAAGCGUUGUUCGGAAUCAUUGGGCGUAAAGAGCGUGUAGGCGGCCAUUUAAGUCUGAUGUGAAAGCCCAGGGCUUAACCCUGGAAGUGCAUUGGAUACUGGAUGGCUAGAGGACGAGAGAGGAAGGCGGAAUUCCUGGUGUAGGGGUGAAAUCCGUAGAUAUCAGGAGGAACACCGGAGGCGAAGGCGGCUUUCUGGCUCGUAACUGACGCUGAGACGCGAAAGCGUGGGGAGCAAACAGG
rnacentral:rRNA from 1 species